GCUUUUUCGAUCGGUCUGGGUCUCGGCUUGUGUUUUGGGGUUUUUUCUCUUUCUUUUUUUUUUUUUUUUGUUUGUUUGCUUUUGGCUGCCCAUUCUACUUACAAUAUUUGUGGGAUAUCACCAGAGAUCUCUGCAACUGCAUCCGAAAUCCCAAAGACUCAAAUAAAAACAAAAUAAAGGAGCCUCAUCGCCAUGAACAGUGACUGUUGCUGCUGCUGCUGUGUGUGAAUUUCGAUUCGGUCUGGCGUCUGUUCUGCGUCAGAGGUUGGAGCUAUGGAGCUGCACAGCUUCGUCGUCACCCAUGAAGUGACGGAUCAUAAAUUUUGUGAGUUGCCUUGAGAGCACAUAAACGGAAGACAAUGAAAGAUAUUUGUACAUAUGAUUUGACAAUGUGAAGAACUUUUGACUAUAUCGAUAGUCACGGGUCUAUAUAUGGCAAAUUAAGCAUUAACAAUUUGAAUUCCCAUUAAUUGAAAAGAGUAUUUCACAAUCUUG